rnacentral:rRNA from 1 species
AUUGAACGCUGGCGGCAGGCUUAACACAUGCAAGUCGAGCGGGGUGAUGGUGCUUGCACUAUCACUUAGCGGCGGACGGGUGAGUAAUGCUUAGGAAUCUGCCUAUUAGUGGGGGACAACAUCUCGAAAGGGAUGCUAAUACCGCAUACGUCCUACGGGAGAAAGCAGGGGAUCACUUGUGACCUUGCGCUAAUAGAUGAGCCUAAGUCGGAUUAGCUAGUUGGUGGGGUAAAGGCCUACCAAGGCGACGAUCUGCAGCGGGUCUGAGAGGAUGAUCCGCCACACUGGGACUGAGACACGGCCCAGACUCCUACGGGAGGCAGCAGUGGGGAAUAUUGGACAAUGGGGGGAACCCUGAUCCAGCCAUGCCGCGUGUGUGAAGAAGGCCUUAUGGUUGUAAAGCACUUUAAGCGAGGAGGAGGCUCUUUUGGUUAAUACCCAAGAUGAGUGGACGUUACUCGCAGAAUAAGCUCCGGCUAACUCUGUGCCAGCCGCCGCGGUAA